GCCAGCUUGGCGCAGUGGUAACGCGUAGCACUUGUAUCUCACGACAUGCUAAGAUCACUCGUUCGAUUCGGGUAGUUGGCA
rfam:Stagonospora sp. SRC1lsM3a unplaced genomic scaffold IQ06scaffold_3, whole genome shotgun sequence.